AUACAUGCAAGUCGAGCGAACAGACAAGGAGCUUGCUCCUUUGACGUUAGCGGCGGACGGGUGAGUAACACGUGGGUAACCUACCUAUAAGACUGGGAUAACUUCGGGAAACCGGAGCUAAUACCGGAUAAUAUUUCGAACCGCAUGGUUCGAUAGUGAAAGAUGGUUUUGCUAUCACUUAUAGAUGGACCCGCGCCGUAUUAGCUAGUUGGUAAGGUAACGGCUUACCAAGGCGACGAUACGUAGCCGACCUGAGAGGGUGAUCGGCCACACUGGAACUGAGACACGGUCCAGACUCCUACGGGAGGCAGCAGUAGGGAAUCUUCCGCAAUGGGCGAAAGCCUGACGGAGCAACGCCGCGUGAGUGAUGAAGGUCUUCGGAUCGUAAAACUCUGUUAUUAGGGAAGAACAUACGUGUAAGUAACUAUGCACGUCUUGACGGUACCUAAUCAGAAAGCCACGGCUAACUACGUGCCAGCAGCCGCGGUAAUACGUAGGUGGCAAGCGUUAUCCGGAAUUAUUGGGCGUAAAGCGCGCGUAGGCGGUUUUUUAAGUCUGAUGUGAAAGCCCACGGCUCAACCGUGGAGGGUCAUUGGAAACUGGAAAACUUGAGUGCAGAAGAGGAAAGUGGAAUUCCAUGUGUAGCGGUGAAAUGCGCAGAGAUAUGGAGGAACACCAGUGGCGAAGGCGACUUUCUGGUCUGUAACUGACGCUGAUGUGCGAAAGCGUGGGGAUCAAACAGGAUUAGAUACCCUGGUAGUCCACGCCGUAAACGAUGAGUGCUAAGUGUUAGGGGGUUUCCGCCCCUUAGUGCUGCAGCUAACGCAUUAAGCACUCCGCCUGGGGAGUACGACCGCAAGGUUGAAACUCAAAGGAAUUGACGGGGACCCGCACAAGCGGUGGAGCAUGUGGUUUAAUUCGAAGCAACGCGAAGAACCUUACCAAAUCUUGACAUCCUUUGACAACUCUAGAGAUAGAGCCUUCCCCUUCGGGGGACAAAGUGACAGGUGGUGCAUGGUUGUCGUCAGCUCGUGUCGUGAGAUGUUGGGUUAAGUCCCGCAACGAGCGCAACCCUUAAGCUUAGUUGCCAUCAUUAAGUUGGGCACUCUAAGUUGACUGCCGGUGACAAACCGGAGGAAGGUGGGGAUGACGUCAAAUCAUCAUGCCCCUUAUGAUUUGGGCUACACACGUGCUACAAUGGACAAUACAAAGGGCAGCGAAACCGCGAGGUCAAGCAAAUCCCAUAAAGUUGUUCUCAGUUCGGAUUGUAGUCUGCAACUCGACUACAUGAAGCUGGAAUCGCUAGUAAUCGUAGAUCAGCAUGCUACGGUGAAUACGUUCCCGGGUCUUGUACACACCGCCCGUCACACCACGAGAGUUUGUAACACCCGAAGCCGGUGGAGUAACCA
rnacentral:rRNA from 1 species